UAAUGGAUUCUUCAUCGAAUGAUGAAUUAUAUGCACUCGUUAAAUUGCCUUUCGGUAUGAGAAGAGUCUUUCCAAUAAAAGAUAUUUAUUUGAAGGAUGAAAAUAAUGAAUACAAUAUAAGUGCGACAUUAGAUUUACUCCAUGAUGCUAAUUUUGGUGCUGGUCGAACACUUCGAGUCUUUGCAGAAGAUAGUAAUGAAGCCAUUGCUUGUGUGGUACAGAAAAUAGACACUAAUCAAGAUACAUUUUUUUUUAUAUUUUCAAUUAGAUUAAAGUUUGUGGAAUUUGGGUGGAUAUCAGUCGUUACACUAAAGCAGGAAGAGCUACUGACAUGCGUAAACGAUGCAAUGGCAUAAUUGAGGCUAUAUGGCUAGAAAAAGAAGAUAGAGCUAAAUUGUUUGUAUCGGGACGACAUUGUAAAGAUGGUACUGUACUAACAGACCAACAUUAUCAACUCAUCUUAAGCAUGUGUCGUGAGUUACAAGUACAUAAGGUGUUCCCAUUUAAUAACGAGAACGAUCCCAUUCUUGAUGUUAAGGUUUGGGUUUCUAAAAAAUUAAAAAUGGAUCGACAUCGUUUCCUUCGAUCCCGAAAUAACAACGCUUUUUUUGAAAAAGAUGGCGAGGAUUCAGAUCUCAUUUCUGAUGAAGAAUAAAUAGUUGUUAAAUAUGACUCGUGAAAAGUAUCGGUUGGGAUGAAAUAUUUUUUUGCAUUACUUCUUCUCCAACUGAUAUA